rnacentral:sRNA from 1 species
UCAGUUGACCGGAAGUUAUGAUGUGAUAGGAAAAGUAGUAGUUUGUGUGUCGGUGUGUGCGAUAGUGGUUCCUGAGGCCAUAUUGGUAUCCUGUCCUCAUUCUGGAUGCAGUGCAUCAUGGACCUGACCUGGUAUGUUCCACACUUAGGAGGUAGUUUAUGAUGUGAUAGGAAAAAUAGUAGUUUGUGUGUCGGUGUGUGCGAUAGUGGUUCCUGAGGCCAUAUUGGUAUCCUGUCCUCAUUCUGGAUGCAGUGCAUCAUGGACCUGACCUGGUAUGUUCCACACUUAGGAGGUAGUUUAUGAUGUGAUAGGAAAAAUAGUAGUUUGUGUGUCGGUGUGUGCGAUAGUGGUUCCUGAGGCCAUAUUGGUAUCCUGUCCUCAUUCUGGA